rnacentral:rRNA from 1 species
GAUCAUGGCUCAGGACGAACGCUGGCGGCGUGCUUAACACAUGCAAGUUGAACGGUAUGACAUGGAAGCCUGCUGAAGUGUCAUAUAGUAGCGGACGGGUGAGUAAUGCAUGAGGAGCUGCCAUUGGGAGGGGGACAACAGUUGGAAACGGCUGCUAAUACCCCGUAUGCCGGAGGGUGAAAGGGAGUAAUCCGCCCGAUGAGGUGCUCAUGUCCUAUCAGCUGGUUGGUGGGGUAACGGCCUACCAAGGCGACGACGGGUAGCCGGCCUGAGAGGGUGAACGGCCACACUGGAACUGAGAUACGGUCCAGACUCCUACGGGAGGCAGCAGGUGGGGAAUAUUUGGGGCAAGUGGGGGCAACCCUGACCCAGCGACGCCGCGUGGGGGAAGACGGCCUUCGGGUUGUAAACCUCUUUUGUACGGGAAGAAGGAAGUGACGGUACUGUACGAAUAAGUCCCGGCUAACUACGUGCCAGCCGCCGC